rnacentral:rRNA from 1 species
GACGAACGCUGGCGGCGUGCCUAAUACAUGCAAGCAGAACGCAGUUGCGAACGGGUGAGUAACGCGUAGGUAACCUGCAUCAUAGCGGGGGAAAACUAUUGGAAACGAUAGCUAAUACCGCAUACCGUGAGAUGGACCUGCGUUGUAUCAGCUAGUUGGCGAGGUAAAGGCUCAGCAAAGCAACGAUACAUAGCCGACCCGCUAGGAGUGUCGGCCACACUGGGACUGAGACACGGUCCAGACUCCUACGGUAGGCAGCAGUGGGGAAUAUUGGACAAUGGGCUCAAGCCUGACGCAGCCGUGCCACGUGUAUGAAGAAGGCCUUCGUGUUGUAAAGUACGAUCAGCGGGGAGGCGUUACCCGCAGAAGAAGCACCGGCUAACUCCGUGCCAGCCGCCGCGGUAAUAC